rnacentral:lncRNA from 1 species
GUGGAGGAUUUGGGGGGGAUUUGGGGGAUUUGGGGGGGAUUUGGAGGAUUUGGAGGGUCCGGGGAGGAUUUUGGGGUCUGGGGGAUUUUUGGGGGGGUCCCGGGGGUCUCUGGGGGUCCCCCCCCCUUUCCCAGCCCCCCUCCCCCCCCCGCGAGGCGCUGGCGGCGCCGGGAUCGAUGGAGCCGCGGCGGGAAACCCCAAAAAUCGAUGAAAAUCCCCCAAAAAAUCGAUGAGAAUCCCCCAAAAAAAUCGAUGAGAAAUCCCCCAAAAAAAUCGAUGCGAAUCCCCCAAAAAAAUCGAUGCGAAUCCCCCAAAAAUCGAUCCCCUCCCCCUCCCCCCUCCCCCCCCGACCCCGCGCGACCCUCGGGAAUCCCCCCGGGAUUUGGGGCGGGGGAGGGGAACCCCAAAUCCGGGAGGAUUCACCCCAAAAACGGCGCCGGGAGGGGGGGGCUCCCCUAAACCCCCCCAAAAUCCCCCGAAUUUCCAAAAAUCCCCCCAAAACCCCCUAAAAUCCCCCCAAAAUUGCCCGAAAUCCACCCAAAAUCACCCAAAUCCUCCCCAAAAUCCCAAAUUCCCCCAAAUUCACCCCAAAUCCCUCCCGGGAUUCAACGAAUCGCCCCAAACCCACAAAAAUCCCCCCAAAAUUUCACCUCAAAAAUGGGGGAAAAAAAUCCCCCCCCCAAAAAUAAAAAUUUGGGGUAAAACGGGAAAAUUCUCCCUCCCCCUAAAAAUAAAAUUUAUUUUAAAAAAAGGGCGAAAACCCAAAAAAAUCCCCCCAAAAAUCCCCCCCCAAAUUCCCGCUGCCCCUCCCCCCCAAAAAACCCCCCUCGCGACCCCCCAAAAUCGGCGGAUCUCCCCCAAAAUGGCCCAAAAUCGCCCCAAAAUCGCCCCAAAUCGCCCCAAAAUCCCGCCCGGCCCCUCCCCCACCCCGGGCCCCCCCAAAUCCGCCCCCCCCCCCAAAAUCCGCCGCACAAAGAACGGGGGGUGGGGGAGGGGUGGGGGAGGGGUGGGGGAGGGGAGGGGGGGAGGGGGGGAGGGUGAUUUGGGGGGAUUUUGGGGGAUUUUGGGGGCGCCCCCCCGCCCCUCCCCCACCCCCAGCAGGGACAAAGGGGGGGUGGGGGGGGAGAUUUUGGGGGGGCUCGGAGCGAGGCGGGGGUGGGGGAGGGGCGGGGUGGGGGAG